UCUUAUAAGUCUUACAAAUAUUAUUUAUAAUAUUUUAGUUUUGAGCAAGUUUUGGGUAUAUAAGAUUAUAGCGAAAAUUAAAAAUGCUCAUUUGUAGUGAUGAACAUUGGUCUUAGUGUUGCGGUCUAGCAAGACUUUGGCUACGAGAACAAGGCCAAGAUGGUAUACUGUCAAUAGGUAGUUUUUUCCCCAAAACACAUUAGUGCAUCUAGAUUUAAUUAACUAAUAAUUUAUAAAGAAAUGAGUUUUAUAGUUAUUGAUUUAUAUCAGUAUUCGAGGAAAUGGCGAGUUAAUGAUAAAAAGAUAAGAAAUAAUGGGAAGUAUCAAUACAAAAUAAUGUAGUUUGAUACUAAUAUUUUAUUUUCCCGAAAUCGAUAAAGACGUCGGAGGUUGCAGUGUUGCUAAUAAGAUAAUUUAUGUCCAUAAUGCACCUCCACUUCAAAUCGAAUACUAGUAUUCGAUAAUAGACUAAUAACUGCUGGAAGUCAUUACGGAGACUACGAUAGGUAUCAUUUUGAUUUCUGUCGGUAAGACGCCUUGUCGUCAAUACGUUUCAACGAUAUUAUAUUAUUAUAAUAAUGGCUAUAACGAGGCAGGGCCGUAGCUAGGCGCUGGCAAGAGCCAAGAGGGCAUUUGCCAGGGGCGCAAUUAUACGAAAGGGGCAAGUUCAUCGAGUGGCAAUCUCAAUUCAAAUAUGAUAGUUGAUAAUUAACAAAAAAAAAUCUUUAUUUUUAGCAUUAUCGCAAUAAGUUUCUCGUCGCGCAAUCGCAUAAUAUUGGGAAACCACGCUAUUCCAGUCACCGCAGCUACAUCUGAAAGAAGCUUCAGUAAGCUGAAGAUCAUAAAAAACUAUUUAAAAUCUACGAUGAACCAAAAUCGUCAAAAAUAAUAGGUAUGGAAAUUUUGUUAAUUGAAAAAAGUUUACUUGACCAAAUAUCAUUUUUGUUUUAAUCUGUUAUUAUAACACAUAAUGGAGCAAUUUUUAUAAUAAUAGAAAAUUAUUUAUAUAGUAAAAUGGUAUUGUCCGAGUUGCGGUCGCAAUAGACGAAUUGCGGUCUUAAUUUUAGACGUUAAUUUUAGCUUCAAUAUUAUUAAUAUUAUAAUAUUAUUAACACCAAUUAUUAUGAUACGAGGCACCAGCUUUAUCCACAAUGUUAUCGUAAGUCAACGUUAUAUCGUUUAGUCUAUUGCAAGACGUUUUUGUAUCAACACGUUAAAAUUCCACAACUAUCUGUAAUGUAUAGUGAAAAAGGGAAAAUUUUGCUUGUAUUAAAUAAUUUUAAAUUUAGAGAGUACCGUCUUCUUAAGACAGGAGAAAUGUCUUGGAGUUGCACUAAUAAAAAUUGUGAAAUGUGCAUCAUACAAAUAUGAGUAACUAACACAACUAACUAUAAAUUUGUAUUUUGACGUAACGUAUUUUGAUCGUUUAAUUUUUUUAUUUAGCAUAAUAAUAUGUAACUUUGUCAAUAUUUAAAACAAUAAUUAUUAAUCAUAUUUUUUUACCGCAACUAGGAUUUUUACUUAUUUUGAUAUUUUACCUGUUUUGAUCCCGACCGCAACUCGGAUUUUUUUUUUUUACCUGUUAUAAUCUCGUCCGCAACUCGGUCUCAACCAAUAAAAUAAAUAUAAUAUACUUGUGCUACAAUCAACAGUGUUUUUUUUUUUAAUAAUGAGCAUGGUAGAUGAAAAAAAUGUAUGAGGUAGGGGGUGCAAAUUUGCUUUUCUACCAGGAGUGCUACUUGUUCUUGCUACGGCCCUGUAACGAAGUAACCUAUACGGCUAUACCUAUUCCGUGUUUCUGUUAAAAAUGUUAAAGUAUUGUAAGUUAGUAAACAAAUAUGUGUUUUUUUUUUUUUUAUUUAUACCUCACUUGAAGCAUUCGAGCUCAACAAAAGAAGCUCCGGAAGAAGAACCGCUUCGCCCGUUUCCACAUUGAGCGUCGCCUGGGCUUGACCACGGCCGGUUACCCAUCACACUAUUACAGAUGCAGGCUCCUGCAGUAAACUCUAGGAAUGAUUUAUAAUUUAUGAAUUGUUUUUUGUUGAGCCAUUAUAAGUAGUGAUAGUUAAAGAUACAUAGUUCAGAAGAAAAAGAACGUCAGUCAUGAUGGGUAUUUGUACGACAUAUUAUAUGCAAAAAAUUACUAAAAUAAUAAAACAAUAAGUCAAUACAAAACAGGUGGUAGUACCUUUAUUAUAUUAGUCGAUAAAAAAAUAUUUAUAUUACGAUAAAUUAAUGAAAAAAUUAUUUGUCACAACGUUGCUUGAUAUUUUUUAGCCAAAAAUGUGUAUGUAUUACCCGCCCAUUGUGAGGAGGCUCAACUGCCAACUAUAGUUUUUUUCUUUUCGUUUACGAUAAAAUUUACGGAACGCCGGGAGGCGCGUUUCGUGUGAAAAAUUAUUGACUUUGUCUUCGGGAGGCACCCAACUAUAUACAUUCGGGAUGCGCCCGUUGCCUUAUUGUCAGUGCUUAAAUAGUGCAUCGCGGUCGCAAGAACAAGACAUUUGAGUGAACGUAUAGCAAAUAACAUUAUACAUCGUAAUUAAUUUAGGCUACAACUAAUUUGCGCACAUUUACCUUUUUUACAACUCAUUUGCGCGGCGCAUCCGAGUUGGGUCCCGAAUACUAGGGGCUAAUCGCAGGUAGUGUAGUGUACUAGUUGGGUCCCGGAUUUACCUUGCGCACAAAAACGUAACUCAUUUGCGUACAAUUUACGAACAAUAGAAACCUUUUUCAAAGAAAUAUAUCCUUGUAUAGGGUGUACAUUAUCUACGCACCUCACAAUUUUUGAAUUGGUUUGAAUUACUCAUUACUGAUGUAAAAUUAUUAAACUCAAACAACAUUUUCCUUCAAAUUGUCACCAUGUUCUAUAUUAUCAGCAACAUCGGUGUUUUUUAGCUCUUGACGUAUUAAUUUGUUUGGACGGGUAGGUAUACAGAUCAUUUUCCGCCUUUCUUUUCAGUGAGCUCCUUACAAUUUAAUACUCAUGACUCGUAUACUUGGCGAGCGUUAAUGCCGUUUUUGAUAGAUAAAAACUGAUAGGAAACCACGUUAUGCUUUAAGACUAUACGGUCAUAAUCGAUCGAGUAUGGGCGGUAGCUUAAAGCACCCUGUACACCAAAAACUAUACCUACAAUCUAUUUUUCAUUGUUCACUAGUUUGUGCGCAAACGGGUUAUCGUAAAUUUUAAAAAUAUUUUAAUAUGUGCGCAAACGCGUUUCCGCCUUAAAUCUUAAUUUACCAAACAUUCAAACAGGUAGUUGUGUGCAAAUUUCCUCACCACCUUUGCUCAAAAACGACGACAUUGCAGGAAUAUCGAAGUCCGUUGAAAAGCAUGAGGUAUUGCACGUGGCGCGUUUUUUUUAUCGUGGUUUCCCCGUUAAGGCAUAGUCCACGGUGCAAAUAAAGUGUCAGUUUUGUCCACGAUUUCACCACCAAGUUGAGAACUUUUUCAUCGAUAUGGCGGACAAGUUUUUGUUUUUAAUGUAAGUAUGAGAUUCGAGAUUGUACGAUAUUAAUUAUACUCAGGACCCAGGGGUCGAAGUGGAGGGAUGCCUUUCAUAAUUUAUAUAGUUCCCAUACUUUAUAGUUAUUGCUUAAACAGUCGUAUACAAAAUAAGUGGAGGGAUGGUAAAUAUGAAUUAUAAAAAUUGGGAUAGACAGAAAACUGGUACGGUCUUCAUAAACUCGGAAUACUGAUAGUCAAGGUUUCCCAAACUUGAAUGAAAAAAAAAAAAACAAUAAAAUAUCAACGAUUAUUUUUUAUUUUAUUUUAUCGACGAUCGAUGGGAAACCACAAGUGACUGCAAUGUAAUUGUAUGAUUGUACGAUUAUGUGUACAGAGGGAACAGCUGUUAAAACGAAAUAUUCGAAAUUACCGCUAUGGAUAUUUACCUAGAGAACCAAUAAAUUCUGAUUUCAAUAUCUCCGAAGAGUGGAAAACUACAAUGGGGGCUGAACCUCGGUCAUUCAUGAUAUUUGACAGUGAGCAUGUAAUUAUGGAUUUCAAAAUCGCUGCUAUGAGUGCAACAAAAUUUGAAUGAUUCAUUUAAUGACAAAAAAAUACUUUGCUAGACAAACUACACAACAAAUGGGAGAGCUUCUCAAUUAAAGAAAUUCAAAGAGGACAAUUUUUAAAUAAUAUAGCAAAGUAUAUGAAACAAUUAUCAUUAAUCAUAUAUUAUAUUAUAUUGUAUUCUUUGUACCUAUGUGGCUAUAUUUUAUAUUUAUUUUCCCUUCCUGUCUACUUUGUAUGUACUUAUUUGUGUUUUUUGUUCAUUGUGAUUGCCAUAAUAUUAGAAAUACAACAAUGUAACGAAGGUAAGAUCAGCAAUACUCUGUCCAUCGGAUCGAACAUUAAUUACUGAAUUCAAUGAUUGCAUCUCGGGUUAUCGAAAUGGUAUGGUGAACUCGUGGAUUUCGUUUUAAAUCAAUAGAAAAUAUUGUAAGACUUUACAAUACCUAUUAUUUAAAUCAUUAUAACGCCCACUCGCUGGUGAGUUUUUAUUUUAAACGGUUUAUUUAACCGUUACAUUGUUCUGCCAAUAUGAUCCAUAAAGUUGCGAGUUACACGGGGGUUCGUGGUUGGGAACUUCACGUUUAAAACAUUUUCCAUAGAAACAAGAGUUGAUUAAAGGGGUAUCGGUAUAAUGGAAAAAAUGCUAUGAAAAUUAAUUUUUGUACUUCCAAUAAUAUGGUUUUUAUUGAGCGGUUUCAGAGUUAACGCGUGAAGAGAAAUAUUGAUCUGUGAUGACUAUAUAAAAAUCAAUUUUCGAUAUUUUAAUAAUGCUAAAUUAUUCAACAAUUCAAACAUCACACGUUUUAGAGGUAUAAGUAAAUUAUCGGACGUUGAAAACAAAAUAUCGAAAGUCGACUCUCGUCCGUGACGUGGAUAAACUUAUUCUCUUAAAUUUGUCGAAUAAGUGCUCAUGCUAUAUUAUAUUGUCGGAAAUACGAAACCAGGUUACAGCUAAAAUUCACAUUCAUAUAAUUAGUGUGCAAAUUGUCUGGGCUAGAGGAGCGCUCCACUAUUUAUUUUGUACACAGUCAACUCGCGAUUUAACGAAAUUCGAUACAACGAAAAUCUCGAUAUAACGAAUAAAACUACCGGUCCCUUGAAAAUAUCGCGGUAUAACAAACAAAUGUAAUGUAUUUUGGUCCCCUCGAUGUAGCGAAGCGUUUUUGAUCAAAACUCUGGAGAUGUAACGAAUUUUUAUAAAUUUGGAGCUUUUUAUUAUGAAUUUUUAAUUUUAAUUAAGAUAAUGUACAUGUAUCUAGUGUAUAACUCUAUGAAAGAUAUAUAAAAAUAAGUAUGUUGGUAUUACCACAUAAUAGAUUACGAAGUUUUUCUGAUGAUUAUCAUGCGAUAGGACACUCAAGUACAGUAUCGCAAUUAAGAUAAGACUUAUGUCGAAUAAAUACAUACUUUUAUGACUCAUAUAUUUUAUACAUAUGUAUACGAAUAACAA